GUCCGGAUGGCCGAGUGGUCUAAGGCGUUGGAUUUAGGCUCCAAUCCACUACGUGGGCGCAGGUUCGAACCCUGCUUCGGAUA